AGAGUUUGAUCAUGGCUCAGAACGAACGCUGGCGGCAGGCUUAACACAUGCAAGUCGAACGGUUGUAGCAAUACAGCAGUGGCAGACGGGUGAGUAACACGUGGGAACCUUCCUAGGGGUACGGAACAACUCAGGGAAACUUGAGCUAAUACCGUAUACGUCCGUAAGGAGAAAGAUUCAUCGCCCCUAGACGGGCCCGCGUAGGAUUAGGUAGUUGGUGAGGUAACGGCUCACCAAGCCUACGAUCCUUAGCUGAUCUGAGAGGAUGAUCAGCCACACUGGGACUGAGACACGGCCCAGACUCCUACGGGAGGCAGCGGUGGGGAAUCUUGGACAAUGGGCGCAAGCCUGAUCCAGCCAUGCCGCGUGAGUGAAGAAGGCCUUCGGGUUGUAAAGCUCUUUUACCAGGGACGAUAAUGACGGUACCUGAGAAUAGCCAGGAUCCC
rnacentral:rRNA from 1 species